UGACCUUUGGUAGAGAGGCUCUGGAGCCUGAGCUUUGUGUUGUCAUGGUGAGCACAGUGGUGAUCCCCAGUCCCACUCUGGCCGGAGCCGCGUCCAUAUUGAUCCAGAAGGACACCCAGGACAGGAUGACGGUUAGCAGGCUCGCACAAACUGAGGAAGCAUCAGAUCAUGGGCCACCUGCACCGCUCCGACAUCCAGCCAUUCGAAAAUAAGGAUGAACUCACAGCUCUCGAGCUGCAUCGUGCAUGUCUGGCUGUCCAUGGGGAAGUUUUUCAGAUCCAUCGGGCAGGAGAGAGUGAGUGUCAACCUUGAAGAAAAAAGCAGCAGAAAAGGGUUUCGGUCCAACUCUCACGUCAAACUAACCUCUCAACUUCCCUUUCCACUGAAUUUAGGACAGUUGAUAGGUUAAAAUAAAAUAGUGUUUUUAGAUAGGAAUAUCUGAUAUAAAUUUUAUAUCUCUAAAAAAAAUAACUGUUAAAUCUUUAGAGAAAA